rnacentral:rRNA from 1 species
AAACCCUACAUGGCAGUUUGAACGGAGUUGUUAUCAGAAGUUUCUUCGGGAUGGAAGUAUAAGAACUUAGUGGCGGACGGGUGAGUAACGCGUGGGUAACCUGCCCUUUUGUGGGGAACAACUUCGAGAAAUCGGAGCUAAUACCGCAUAAUAAUAGAGAAUCGCAUGAUUUUCUAAGGAAAGAUGGCCUCUGAAGAUGCUAUCGCAAAAGGAUGGACCCGCGUCUGAUUAGCUAGUUGGAAGGGUAACGGCCUACCAAGGCAACGAUCAGUAGCCGGCCUGAGAGGGUGAACGGCCACAUUGGGACUGAGACACGGCCCAAACUCCUACGGGAGGCAGCAGUGGGGAAUCUUCCGCAAUGGGCGAAAGCCUGACGGAGCAAUGCCGCGUGAGUGAAGAAGGCCUUCGGGUUGUAAAACUCUGUCCUUAUCGAAGAGAGGUGGGUAUGUGAAUAAUGUACUCAUAGGACGGUAGAUAAGGAGGAAGCCCCGGCUAACUACGUGCCAGCAGCCGCGGUAAUACGUAGGGGGCGAGCGUUGUCCGGAAUCACUGGGCGUAAAGGGCGCGUAGGCGGUUUAAUAAGUCAGUGGUGAAAACUGAGGGCUCAACCCUCAGCCUGCCACUGAUACUGUUAGACUUGAGUAUGGAAGAGGAGAAUGGAAUUCCUAGUGUAGCGGUGAAAUGCGUAGAUAUUAGGAGGAACACCAGUGGCGAAGGCGAUUCUCUGGGCCAAGACUGACGCUGAGGCGCGAAAGCGUGGGGAGCAAACAGGAUUAGAUACCCUGGUAGUCCACGCCGUA